rnacentral:rRNA from 1 species
CCUACGGGAGUCAGCAGUGAGGAAUAUUGGUCAAUGGGCGGAAGCCUGAACCAGCCAAGUCGCGUGAGGGAUUAAGGCCCUGCGGGUCGUAAACCUCUUUUGCCGGGGAGCAGAGGUCCGGACGUGUCCGGGCCGGGAUAGUACCCGUAGAAAAAGCAUCGGCUAACUCCGUGCCAGCAGCCGCGGUAAUACGGAGGAUGCGAGCGUUAUCCGGAUUUAUUGGGUUUAAGGGGUGCGUAGGCGGGCAUUUAAGCCGGCGGUCAAAUGUCGGGGCUCAACCCCGGCCUGCCGUCGGCACUGGGUGCCUUGAGUGGGAGAGAGGUAUGCGGAAUGCGUGGUGUAGCGGUGAAAUGCAUAGAUAUCACGAAGAACCCCGAUUGCGAAGGCAGCAUACCGGCGCCCUACUGACGCUGAGGCACGAAAGUGCGGGUAUCGAACAGGAUUAGAUACCCGAGUAGUC